rnacentral:rRNA from 1 species
AUUGAACGCUGGCGGUAGGCCUAACACAUGCAAGUCGAGCGAGCGGCGCACGGGUGAGUAAUGUCUGGGAAACUGCCUGCUGGAGGGGGAUAACUACUGGAAACGGUAGCCAAUACCGCCUACAAUCAGAUAUGCCCAGAUAGGAUUGGCGAGUAGGGGGGGUAACGGCUCACUGAGGCGACGAUCCCUAGCUGGUCUGAGAGGAUGACCAGGAAAACUGGAACUGAGACGCGGUCCAGAGUCCUGCGGGGGGCAGAAGUGGGGAAUAAUGGACGAUGGGUGCAGGCCAGAUGCGGCCAUGCCGCGUGUGUGGUGAGGGCCUUCGGGUUGUAAAGCACUUUCAGCGGGAGAGCGGUACCCGAAGAAUAAGCACCGGCUAACUCCGUGCCAGCAGCCGCGGUAAUAC